rnacentral:rRNA from 1 species
UCUGACCGAGCAACGCCGCGUGAGUGAAGAAGGUCUUCGGAUCGUAAAGCUCUGUUGUCAGCCAAGAACAGGAAAAAGAGGCAAUGCUUUUUCUUUGACGGUAGCUGACCAGAAAGCCACGGCUAACUACGUGCCAGCAGCCGCGGUAAUAA